AACUUUUGGCAAUGGAUCUCUUGGCUCUCGCAUCGAUGAAGAACGCAGCGAAAUGCUGUACGUAAUGUGAAUUGCAGAAUUCAGUGAAUCAUCGAAUCUUUGAACGCACCUUGCGCCCCUUGGCAUUCCGAGGGGCACACCCGUUUGAGUGUCGUGAACAUCCUCAACCUGCUGGUUUUUACCAAACUAAGUAGGCUUGGAAUUUGGAGGUUUUCUGCUGGCCUCCUCUGAAGCCAGCUCCUCUUAAAUCUAUCAGUGGGAUCCGCUUUGCUAGAUCCUCGACGUUGAUAAGAUGUUUCUACGUCUUGAGUUUUGCUCGGGAAGGACCUGCUUCUAACCGUCCCAUCGGGGACAUCGUUCGAGCCGAUCGCCCUUCACGGGGUGGGAAGCUUUUCGACCCAUGAACCCUUGACCUCAAAUCGGGUGAGACUACCCGCUGAACUUAAGCAUAUCAAUAAGCGGAGGAU
rnacentral:misc_RNA from 1 species